GCGCCCGUAGCUCAAUUGGAUAGAGCGUCUGACUACGGAUCAGAAGGUUGGGGGUUCGAGUCCUCCCGGGCGCGCCC
rnacentral:tRNA from 1 species